GGGAAGAAGCCACGAUACAGGAGGAACACAGGAGAAUGUGUCACAAAAGAAGUGAGAUGAGAGGGAAAAUAAGCAGCUGGGAAGAGCGCCAUUAACAUAUGAAGCAAGCUGGCCAUCUGCAGUGCCGAAGGUGGCUCUCACCGGAACCCAACCCUGCUGGCACCCUGAUCUCAGACGUCCAGCCUCCAGCACUGUGAAAAGUUACAAAUGGGAACGAAGCAGCCUUGGAGAUUGUCUCCGUGAAACUUCCACUCCAGUGAGGGAGGUGCAGAAAGAACCGACAAACGACUCAACACACAGAAAGGGGCUGUUGCUCGUCUGGAGCUGAUGAAAUGCUGCAUGUCCUGCUGCCCUCGGGUGGUCCUGACACCCUCCUGGCUUCCUGGCUUUGCAGUCUGUACAACUAGGUCUCCCACUGAAAUGAAUAAUGGCCACCGAAUUUUUUUAAAAAAGAAAACUUCAUAAUUACAGUCAAACAAGAAUAUCAAUAAUGAGCUAGCCUCCCACUGUUGCUCAGAAGACGCCGUAACUGUGGCUGUCCCUUCCUGGGCACUGACUUGCCCUGCACUGAGUGCCACCCUGGGCCUCUUCACUGUGGCUGGUGUUGGAAACUGCUGUCCUUGGUGCCUUAACGUGUCUGAGGGACAGCGCUGUGGGGCUUGCCAAGGCCUCGGCUUGUGCUCCUGCCGUCAAAGUCUGAGGGAGCCCAGACGGCGUGGGGCCCACCUCCCAGGAGAUGCGGAUAACAGCGAAACCCGAGGAGGACCAUUGGCUGGGUGUAAAAUGAAUUAAGUGGAGUCUCCCCGAAGCAAAGAGGGUGAUUAGAAGGGACUGGAAUCAUCUGUGGAAGGAAGAAGGCGGCAGGCAUUGGGAGGCCCGAUGACAUGCCACAGGAAGUGAUUUGCUCUGUGACUUAGGGAAAGAGAGGUUUUCCAUCUUGUAAUCUGCACUGCAGUUGCACAACAUAAAUUUUUAAAAAGAAAAACUAAAAAAAUAAA